UCUCGGCUUAUCACCGGCAGUCCCCUUAGAGUGCCCAACUGAAUGAUGGCAACUAAGGGCGAGGGUUGCGCUCGUUACGGGACUUAACCCAACAUCUCACGACACGAGCUGACGACAGCCAUGCAGCACCUGUCUUGUGGUUCCCGAAGGCACUCUCUCAUCUCUGAAAGAUUCCACAGAUGUCAAGGGCAGGUAAGGUUCUUCGCGUUGCAUCGAAUUAAACCACGUGCUCCACCGCUUGUGCGGGCCCCCGUCAAUUCAUUUGAGUUUUAACCUUGCGGCCGUACUCCCCAGGCGGAGAACUUAACGCGUUAGCUGUGACACUGAGAGGUUCAAGCCCUCCCAACAUCUAGUUCUCAUCGUUUACGGCGUGGACUAC
rnacentral:misc_RNA from 1 species